rnacentral:tRNA from 2 species
GGACGAUUAGCUCAGCUGGUUAGAGCGUUCGAUUCACAUUCGAAAGGUCACUGGUUCGAAUCCAGUAUCGUCCA